AUAAUGGGUCAGCGACUUAUAUUCUGUAGCAAGGUUAACCGAAUAGGGGAGCCGAAGGGAAACCGAGUCUUAACUGGGCGUUAAGUUGCAGGGUAUAGACCCGAAACCCGGUGAUCUAGCCAUGGGCAGGUUGAAGGUUGGGUAACACUAACUGGAGGACCGAACCGACUAAUGUUGAAAAAUUAGCGGAUGACUUGUGGCUGGGGGUGAAAGGCCAAUCAAACCGGGAGAUAGCUGGUUCUCCCCGAAAGCUAUUUAGGUAGCGCCUCGUGAAUUCAUCUCCGGGGGUAGAGCACUGUUUCGGCAAGGGGGUCAUCCCGACUUACCAACCCGAUGCAAACUGCGAAUACCGGAGAAUGUUAUCACGGGAGACACACGGCGGGUGCUAACGUCCGUCGUGAAGAGGGAAACAACCCAGACCGCCAGCUAAGGUCCCAAAGUCAUGGUUAAGUGGGAAACGAUGUGGGAAGGCCCAGACAGCCAGGAUGUUGGCUUAGAAGCAGCCAUCAUUUAAAGAAAGCGUAAUAGCUCACUGGUCGAGUCGGCCUGCGCGGAAGAUGUAACGGGGCUAAACCAUGCACCGAAGCUGCGGCAGCGACGCUUAUGCGUUGUUGGGUAGGGGAGCGUUCUGUAAGCCUGCGAAGGUGUGCUGUGAGGCAUGCUGGAGGUAUCAGAAGUGCGAAUGCUGACAUAAGUAACGAUAAAGCGGGUGAAAAGCCCGCUCGCCGGAAGACCAAGGGUUCCUGUCCAACGUUAAUCGGGGCAGGGUGAGUCGACCCCUAAGGCGAGGCCGAAAGGCGUAGUCGAUGGGAAACAGGUUAAUAUUCCUGUACUUGGUGUUACUGCGAAGGGGGGACGGAGAAGGCUAUGUUGGCCGGGCGACGGUUGUCCCGGUUUAAGCGUGUAGGCUGGUUUUCCAGGCAAAUCCGGAAAACUAAGGCUGAGGCGUGAUGACGAGGCACUACGGUGCUGAAGCAACAAAUGCCCUGCUUCCAGGAAAAGCCUCUAAGCAUCAGGUAACAUCAAAUCGUACCCCAAACCGACACAGGUGGUCAGGUAGAGAAUACCAAGGCGCUUGAGAGAAC
rnacentral:rRNA from 1 species